AUGAAUAUGGCGAAAAGGUAAACGCGCUAAAUUUAGAAUUUAGUUUUUAUAAUAAUAAGAGUUCGAAUCUCUUUAUUCAUA
rnacentral:tRNA from 2 species